rnacentral:rRNA from 1 species
AGUGAACGCUGGCGGUAGGCCUAACACAUGCAAGUCGAACGGCAGCACAGAGGAGCUUGCUCCUUGGGUGGCGAGUGGCGGACGGGUGAGGAAUACAUCGGAAUCUACUCUGUCGUGGGGGAUAACGUAGGGAAACUUACGCUAAUACCGCAUACGACCUACGGGUGAAAGCAGGGGACGUUCGGGCCUUGCGCGAUUGAAUGAGCCGAUGUCGGAUUAGCUAGUUGGCGGGGAAAAGGCCCACCAAGGGGACGAUCCGGAGCUGGUCUGAGAGGAUGAUCAGCCACACUGGAACUGAGACACGGUCCAGACUCCUACGGGAGGCAGCAGUGGGGAAUAUUGGACAAUGGGCGCAAGCCUGAUCCAGCCAUACCGCGUGGGUGAAGAAGGCCUUCGGGUUGUAAAGCCCUUUUGUUGGGAAAGAAAUCCAGCUGGCUAAUACCCGGUUGGGAUGACGGUACCCAAAGAAUAAGCACCGGCUAACUUCGUGCCAGCCGCCGCGGUAA